UCCCUGGUGGUCUAGUGGUUAGGAUUCGGCGCUUUUAUCGCUGCGGUCUGGGUUCGAUUCCCGAUCAGGGAA